GUCCAUUCUAAGUUGUUCUGUCAGUGAAACUCUGUUUAAAACAUGGCUUGUAUGAAGUUGUCAGGAAUCGGCUCUGACACUUGGAUGAUUCUUCAGCUGGCUAUAAAAUUCUAAAAUCAGAGUAACCGUGUAUUGACUUCCAACAUUCCACAUUUCCAAAGGUGUUUCCUGUGAUCUCUGGGAUCCUGAUCCGCACCACUCAACUUUGGCCUCCUAAACUUCAUCCUUGACCCCACCCCAGGUAGGAAGGAUGUGUGGAUAUUUCUUUUAUCUUUCUGCAACGAUGACCUUUUGGAGAAAAAGAAAGGAAGCAGGACCUCUUGACCAGAAUUUAUCCAGCACUCCAGCACGGCUUGCACGUUAUCUGGAGUAAAGAGACCUUCUGGGAUUUCAUCAGCCUCCUGUCCAUCAAGAGUUCUUCCAGUUUUUGACUGACUGAAUUUUCAGUGAACUGUGUGUCUAACUGAAGCUUUGAGAGAGAGAGAGAGAGAAAGAAGGAAAAAAAGAAAAGGUUUUACUUCACUUGAACUUGUUAAAAAGGAAGAGACACAGAUCCAGCAUAGUAGAAGGAGAAAGAAAGCAGACAACAGUUUGGAAUGGAGGCAUUGAGACGGAAGAGUCCAUUGGAGAUGGAAUGUACACACAAAAAUAACAAUUUAGGUCCUUUGCUCAUGCAACAUCUUGUUCUAAUGUCCUCUGCUCCAGGUCACAACAUUGAGCUACAAAGUGUGUGCAGUGACUCCAGUCUGCAUUCAUGCUACAAGAUGAUCCGUUUAGUAAGACUGAGCAAGGCUUGUUAACCUCUUGGACGUGAGAGAUUUCCCCUGAGAAAAUAUAUAAAACAAGAGAAAAGAAAGAAAAUCAAGUACGAUCACUGAAAACCUGCUUAGUAGUAGCAACUAUUUACUGUAGCUGAUUUUUGUGCAAGGUCAACACUGAACCCUUUAAGUCCAUCUUAGUUCAAACCUCAUGACCAACCUGCCUUCCCCCCUCCCUCCCUCCACUGACACGUCAAACAAAACUAUCCUCCCUCCCUCCACCCUCCUACCCCUCCCAAAUCCUUCCUCCCCACUGCAAACAGACUGAUGGUUUCACAGCACAGAUUAGCAAAUCAUAAAACAUAUCCAUAAAUGCUCCAUCAAGGCUUAGCAAUGAAGCAACACCUAGGUUCCCAACUGAUUAUAAACAUGUUACAACAAAUCUUAGUAAGCUGCUCUGAAAGAUAAUGUGAGUGCAUUCUUGUUCAAUGGCUGAAAUUAAUGUCACAUUUAUAAAUAUCUAGAAAUGUAGAGGAUACGAUUUAAUUAAAUAAAAUGCAGUUUUUGAGGGUGUGAUUCAUGAAACUCAAGAUUGAGUCUGUUCCCUAUCUUACAUAAUAAUGGAUAAAAAGGUGCCAAUUAUAUAUCUGAAGAUA
rnacentral:lncRNA from 1 species